AUAACUUAACCAUGUGGUUGGGAAACCAAACGUCCACUGAACCAGAAAUUACUGAUAUCAUAUAUGAAACUCAUUAUAAGGAAAGCUGUUGUAAUAUCGAAAUACACAAAAUAAAUUUAGAGAAUGGGUUCACUGUUUGGGCUCACGUUAGAACUUGCAAAUGCAGUAGACAAUACACCAAUUCCUGGAAAGGUUCCAAAUACGAUGGAAAACAUGAAGAUGGCGUGAUAGUUCAUCAACAUAGUAGUUGUAAAUACUAUCCUAAAAGGACUGGGUUAAAUAAUUAUACGGCGGAGGAAGUUUGUCGUUGUGGAGUUAAACAAAGUUUGCAAAGAUAAUUGUAAGUGUAAUAGGUUUUUUUAUUACCAUAUUUUUACAAAAGAUCAUUUCAACUUUUAAUUUGGUUAUUUUCUAAAAUUGUUUAUCGCGUAAUUUAGACUUACAUCACACAUGUUUUUGAUUGUUUUUAUGUUUGAAAAGUAAAUAAAAUGACUUUCAUUCUUGCAAUUAACAAUACGCUCUAUAAUGUCAUUUUAUUUGAAAAAUAUUUUGAUCAAAUAUUAAUCUGAUCAUGGGGAUCAUUUUGAACUGUUUUUAAUAAAAGAUUUGUCCAUUUGGAAAACACUCUUUCAUAGAGAAAUACUAAGGAAUGUUGUCAAUGUCUGAUUUUUUCAAACCUCAAUAUUAAAGAUCAAUAAUACCUACUAAGAUCUACAUUAAAAUAAAGAAAAAACGUUUUAACUUUCAAUCUGAUUUAUAGAAACAAUGGAUCGCUCAAAGUUAUACGUUGUUUUGAAAAAUGACGUCCUGUAAAAUAACAUAACAAAACUUUUAAAUUCAUACAUCUGCUUAUUGUUAAUAAGGAAAUUAUAACAACAGAUAAAAAGAGAUGCCAAGUUUUAAAGCUUUUAUUUCAUUUCCAAAUUACCCAAAUAUUUUACGUAUUGACAAAGUUAAAAGAAUGCUUAGGAUCUUUUUCGUUCAAAUAUGAACAGCUUUUUUGGAUGUCCUUCAGAUCAGGCCCAAACUAGAAGUUCUAUACCUUUUUGUGUAUUUUCAUUUUCCCAGUUUUCCUUUUUUUAUGUUUUGUUUGUAUUUUGUUUCUUUUGUCAAAUUCUUAUUCUAACAAUUUAAUCUUUUUUUUUAGAAGAUUCAACAAAUGAAGAGACAAUUAACAGCUCUAAACAAAUUCAAACCAAAAAUCAGCGAUAUAUGAAAUAAAACGUAUUGGGAUGCUUAUUUGUCUUUUCUGGACAAAAAAUCCAAAAUACUAUACAUGUUCAAUAAAGUUCGAAUAAAUGUUUCGUUGUUUAAUAAUAAAAAUUUGACUCAGUCA
rnacentral:lncRNA from 1 species